ensembl:lncRNA
GGAAAUUAGACAGACAGGAUUGGCAAACUUUUCAGAAAAUCUGCCACAUCUUGAGGUCAAGCGCAAGAUGCAGAACACUUUAAAGGGACUGCUACAGUUAAGGAAAGACUGAAACCUGAGCUGACUUUACCUUGCUCCUGAAAUAUCUCAGAGGACUCUGAGGUUUCCUUCUCUCUAAACUUUAUUACCUACUGCUGUUGGUCACAUGUAUGUUACGACCGCCGUCUGUGCAUGAAGAGCACCUCAAUGUUAAAAUGGAAUUCAGACUGUGUCAGCACAAAGAACAUUUAUUUUAAAAAAAUCACAUCAAACGUCA